rnacentral:rRNA from 1 species
UACGGGGGGGGCAAGCGUUGUUCGGAAUUAUUGGGCGUAAAGAGCUCGUAGGCGGUUUGUUGCGUCGGCUGUGAAAUCCCGAGGCUCAACCUCGGGUCUGCAGUCGAUACGAGCAAACUAGAGUGUUGCAGGGGAGACUGGAAUUCCUGGUGUAGCGGUGAAAUGCGCAGAUAUCAGGAAGAACACCCGUGGCGAAGGCGGCUCUCUGGGACGGUACUGACGCUGAGACGCGAAAGCGUGGGGAGCGAACAGG